rnacentral:rRNA from 1 species
UACGUAGGGUGCAAGCGUUGUCCGGAAUUAUUGGGCGUAAAGAGCUCGUAGGCGGUUUGUCGCGUCUGCCGUGAAAGUCCGGGGCUCAACUCCGGAUCUGCGGUGGGUACGGGGCAGACUAGAGUGAUGUAGGGGGAGACUGGAAUUCCUGGUGUAGCGGUGAAAUGCGCAGAUAUCAGGAGGAACACCGAUGGCGAAGGCAGGUCUCUGGGCAUUAACUGACGCUGAGGAGCGGAAAAGCAUGGGGGAGCGAACAGG